AUAUAUACCUGGCAGGGGAGGCCCCAUGAUCCUGAAGGUGGUUUCCCCGGGGCGGGCUUAGCCAUUGCACUCCGGGUGUGCUGACCCCUGCGAUUGCCCCAGAUGUGGGAAACCCGGCUGCGCAAUUGGUGGUAGUGGGGGACUGCGUUCACACUCUCCCCUG